rnacentral:lncRNA from 1 species
GUCUAAUGUUGUUCCGGUUUUUGUUCUUGUGAACAUUGACAUCGAUUCGUUCCAAAUUUACACUCUCGGGGCAUAAUAGAACAAUAUAAUUAGGUUUUACGCUUUAUUAGAUAGAAUGAGAAAAAGUACCCGUUGCAAAGUUAUACUGUUAGGGUGCAACUGAGUAGUCUAAUGUUAUUCUGAUUUUUAUUCUUGUGAACGUUGACAUCGAUUCGUUCCAAAUUUACAAUCUCGGGGCAUAAUAGAACAAUAUAAUUAGGUUUUACUCUUUGUUCGAUAGAAUGCGAAAAAGUACUCGUUGUAAAGAUAUACUGUUAGGGCGCAACUGAGUAUUCUAAUGUUGAUCUGGUUUUGGUUCUUAUGAAUGUAGACAUCAAUUCAUUCCAAAUUUGCACUCUCGGGGCAUAAUAGAACAAUAUAAUUAGGUUUUACACUUUGUUCGAUAGAAUGAGAAAAAGUACUCGUUGUAAAGUUAUACUGUUAGGGCGCAACGAAGUAUUCUAAUGUUGUUCCGGUUUUGGUUCUUGUGAACGUUGACAUCGAUUCACUCAAAAUUUACACUCUCGGGGCAUAAUAGAACAAUAUAAUUAGGUUUUACUUUUUGUUCGAUCGAAUGAGAAAAAGCACUCGUUGUAAAGUUAUACNGUUUUUGUUCUUGUGAGCGUUGACAUCGAUUCGUUCCAAAUUUACACUCUCUAGGCAUAAUAGAACAAUAUAAUUAGGUUUUACGCUUUCUUCAAAAAAAUGAGAAAAAUUACUCGUUGCAAAGUUAUACAGUUAGGGCGCAACUGAGUAGUCUAAUGUUAUUCCGGUUUUUGUUCUUAUGAGCGUUGACAUCGAUUCGUUCCAAAUUUACAAUCUCUGGGCAUAAUAGAACAAUAUAAUUAGAUUUUACGCUUUCUUCGAUAAAAUGAGAAAAAGCACUCGUUGCAAAGUUAUUCUGUUAUGGCGCAACUGAGUUGUUUAAUGUUGUUCCGGUUUUUGUUCUUGUGAGCGUUGAUAUCGAUUCGUUCCAAAUUUACACUCUCUGGGCAUCAUAGAACAAUAUAAUUAGGUUUUACGAUUUUUUUUAUAAAAUGAGAAAAAUUACUCGUUGCAAAGUUAUACUGUUAUGGCGCAACUGAAGUGCCUAAUGUUGUUCCAGUUUUUGUUCUUGUGAGCGUUGACAUCGAUUCGUUCCAAAUUUACACUCUCUAGGCAUAAUAGAACAAUAUAAUUAGGCUUUACGCUUUCUUCGAUAAAAUGAGAAAAAGUACUCGUUGCAAAGUUAUACUGUUAGGGCGCAACAGAUUUGUCUAAUGUUGUUCCGGUUUUUGUUCUUAUGAGCGUUGACAUCGAUUCGUUCCAAAUUUACACUCUCUGGGCAUAAUAGAACAAUGUAAUUGGAUUUCACGCUUUUUUCGAUAAAAUGAGAAAAAGCACUUGUUGCAAAGUUAUUCUGUUAUGGCGCAACUGAGUUGUUUAAUGUUGUUCGGAUUUUUGUUCUUGUGAGCGUUGACAUCGAUUCGUUCUAAAUUUACACUCUCGGGGCAUAAUAGAACAAUAUAAUUAGGUUUUACGCUUUCUUCGAUAAAAUAAGAAAAAGCACUCGUUGCAAAGUUAUACUGUUUGGGCGCAACUGAGUAGUCUAAUGUUAUUCCGAUUUUUGUUCUU